rnacentral:rRNA from 1 species
AACGAACGCUGGCGGCAUGCCUAACACAUGCAAGUCGAACGAGACCUUCGGGUCUAGUGGCGCACGGGCGCGUAACGCGUGGGAACCUGCCCUUAGGUUCGGAAUAACUCCCCGAAAGGGGUGCUAAUACCGGAUAAUGUCUUCGGACCAAAGAUUUAUCGCCUUUGGAUGGGCCCGCGUUGGAUUAGCUAGUUGGUAGGGUAAAAGCCUACCAAGGCGACGAUCCAUAGCUGGUCUGAGAGGAUGAUCAGCCACACUGGGACUGAGACACGGCCCAGACUCCUACGGGAGGCAGCAGGGCGGAAUAUGGGAAAAUGGGCGAAAGCCUGAUCCAGCAAUGCCGGGUGAGUGAGGAAGGCCUUAGGGUUGUAAAGCUCUUUUACCCGGGAUGAUAAUGACAGUACCGGGGAAUAAGCUCCGGCUAACUCCGUG